AGCCCCAGUCCUGGGAUUUCCAGGUGUCCACAUUCACUGAGCAGGACAGGACACAGUGAACUCACCAUGGAGUUUGUGCUGGGCUGGGUUUUCCUUGUUGCUCUUUUAAAAGGUGUCCAGUCUGAGGUGCAGCUGGUGGAGUCUGGGGGAGACCUGGUGAAGCCUGGGGGGUCUCUGAGACUCUCCUGUGAAACCUCUGGAUUCACCAUCAGUAAUAAUGAAAUGAACUGGGUCCGCCAGGCUCCAGAGAAGGAGCUGCAGUGGGUCGCAUAUAUUAACAGUGUUGGAAGCACAUACUAUGCAGAUUCUGUGAAGGGAUGAUUCACCAUCUCCAGAGACAAAAGCAAGAACACGCUGUAUCUGCAGAUGAGCAGCCUGAGAGCCGAGGACACGGCCGUGUAUUACUGUGCGAGAGACA